GGUGGGUUGUACGGUCAGCCUUUGGUUAGCACUGCUAUGGCCUACCUUUCUGCCGGGGACGAGCUCCUGGGCUUAACUGUCCGGGACUCGGAACUCGGCGAGGUUACUUUGAGUAAAUUACAGUGUUCAAAGCAAGCCUACGCUCUGAAUACAUUAGCAUGGAAUAACACGACAGGACUCUGGCUUAUCCUGUUGGUCUGUAAGACCGGAGUAAUGAUUAAGAGGGACAGUCGGGGGCAUUCGUAUUUCAUUGUCAGAGGUGAAAUUCUUGGAUUUAUGAAAGACGAACUUCUGCGAAAGCAUUUGCCAAGGACAUGUUCUCCAUUAAUCAAGAACGAAAGUUGGGGGCUCGAAGACGAUUAGAUACCGUCGUAGUCUCCAACCAUAAACGAUGCCGACUA
rnacentral:rRNA from 1 species